UACGGAGGGGGCUAGCGUUGUUCGGAAUUACUGGGCGUAAAGCGCGCGUAGGCGGCUUUGUAAGUUAGAGGUGAAAGCCCGGAGCUCAACUCCGGAAUUGCCUUUAAGACUGCAUCGCUAGAAUCAUGGAGAGGUGAGUGGAAUUUCGAGUGUAGAGGUGAAAUUCGUAGAUAUUCGGAAGAACACCAGUGGCGAAGGCGGCUCACUGGACCGGUACUGGACGCUGAGGAGCGAAAGCAUGGGGAGCGAACAGG
rnacentral:rRNA from 1 species